rnacentral:rRNA from 1 species
AAAUUGAAGAGUUUGAUCAUGGCUCAGAUUGAACGCUGGCGGCAGGCCUAACACAUGCAAGUCGAACGGUAACAGGAAGCAGCUUGCUGCUUUGCUGACGAGUGGCGGACGGGUGAGUAAUAUCUGGGAAACUGCCUGAUGGAGGGGGAUAACUACUGGAAACGGUGGCUAAUACCGCAUAACGUCGCAAGACCAAAGAGGGGGACCUUCGGGCCUCUUGCCAUCAGAUGUGCCCAGAUGGGAUUAGCU